CCAGACUGCAGUUUUGGCAGUACUCAGUUCCUUUUCGCGCCGAGCAAUACUAAAACCCUUCAAUCGCAUCCGAAACUUAUAACUCUAACCCUUCCAACAUUGUUAUAAUGUCAAAUGGACUUUGUCCAACUAUUUCUCUCGCACUCUUUCGUCAAUUUGACUAAAGAUCGACAUACUCUACCGAAGUUUCGGUAUAUUAUAUUCUCCACCUCUUAAAAAUAGUUUUGUCCGCGAAACUAAACACAUACCUUCGCUCAUCAACUCGAAUAG
rnacentral:lncRNA from 1 species